AUGGUUGGCCACCGCAGCUCCUCCUCUUGCUCCCGUAGCGCCAAGCGAGGUGAUUGGGAGAAGUGUACCGUAUCCCACGGCCAAUUGGUGAAGUUGCAGACCCAGGGGUUUCUUCCACCUGCAUAUCUUGUCCCCGUUCGAGCCGGAUUAGCCAGCUUUGACGGCGGGGAGCAAGCGAAGAUUUUUCCCAACCCAUCCCGGGGGGAGCGGGUGUGCCUUGUCCCUUACUUGCUGAGCCCAAUUGGAUUUCCAAUUCAUCCGUUCCUCCGCGAGCUCCUGGAGUAUUAUGGCCUGUGGUUGCACAACUUUACCCCUUCCUCCAUCCUGCACAUCGCAGGUUAUGUCGCCCUUUGCGAGCUAUUUCUGGGUUGCGAAGCUCAUUUCGAGCUAUGGAAGAGGUUGUUCUGCCUCGUCUCUCGCAAUCAAGAGGGAUCAAUAUUCCAAGUGGGCGGAGCCGAAAUAUGGCGCAUCACCGGGACCGGAUACCUGUCCGGCACUCCGAAGAAGAUGUCCGAAGAUUGGGCUUCCCAGUGGUUUUAUAUAGAGGACAUCUCCCUUCCUGACCCUAUCCGAAUGGGUGUUUCGGAGUUCACAAAUUCCCCAUUGAAGAAACGUCAUAGAUGGCAUCCUCGGAGCCCCAAGGAGGAAGAUAGUAGAGAGGUCCUUGAAUUGAUGGGCAGGAUAAAAAUGCUUUCCAAAUCUGGAUUGACAAUAAUCAAAGUUAUGUCAAUAUGCAUAAUGCGGGGUGUGCAGCCGCUCUAG
rnacentral:rRNA from 1 species